AAAAUUCCUCAUCAGCAGACUGUCGACCAACCGCGUUCACGUUGUCAUGAUGCGUCACGCAGUUGAUAAGUUCAUCGUCACGCAAACCUUUCUCAAAGUCAGGGUAUGAGUCGAGAAACCUGCCAAUUUUCGUCAAAACUAGAACCCAAUUGACUUCCAUUCACUCCAUGAAGGAGAGCUCUUCUUGUCCCACAAAUGCACCGCGCGCCCCAUUGACGAAGCACGGGCAACGUACACAAAAAGAGAACUGUGGAAAGAAAAUGCAGUGGUCUCACCAUGGAAACCAAGAUAACACAAGUAAUGAAGAUGUCACAAUACAAUGAGAACUGAGAG